GACGAACGCUGGCGGCGUGCUUAACACAUGCUAGUCGAACGGAAAGGCCCUGCUUUUGUGGGGUGCUCGAGUGGCGAACGGGUGAGUAACACGUGAGUAACCUGCCCUUGACUUUGGGAUAACUUCAGGAAACUGGGGCUAAUACCGGAUAGGAGCUCCUGCUGCAUGGUGGGGGUUGGAAAGUUUCGGCGGUUGGGGAUGGACUCGCGGCUUAUCAGCUUGUUGGUGGGGUAGUGGCUUACCAAGGCUUUGACGGGUAGCCGGCCUGAGAGGGUGACCGGCCACAUUGGGGCUUAGGUACGGCCCAAACUCCUUAGGGGGGCAACAGUGGGGAAUAAUGCACAAUGGGCGGAAGCCUGAUGCAGCAACGCCGCGUGCGGGAUGACGGCCUUCGGGUUGUAAACCGCUUUCGCCUGUGACGAAGCGUGAGUGACGGUAAUGGGUAAAGAAGCACCGGCUAACUACGUG
rnacentral:rRNA from 1 species